GGAUCAUUGUCGAAAUCGAACGGAAGAACGACCCGCGAAUCGUCAUUGCGUAGCAUACAGAGCCCGUGAGCACCUAACGCUCACGGGUCUCGCGUCGCGUCGGCGCGGGUGUACUCGAGACCCGCGUCGUACCGGCGGACAAACAACGUCAGCACGGAUCGUGCCAAGGAGCAGCAUGGAGAGAAUCGUCGUCCCACGCCUUUGAUAGUCCUCGACGCGGGACGGGGGAUGUACGCAAUCUCUACUCAAAAGUCUAAACGACUCUCGGCAACGGAUAUCUCGGCUCUUGCAUCGAUGAAGAACGUAGCGAAAUGCGAUACUUGGUGUGAAUUGCAGAAUCCCGUGAACCAUCAAUUCUUUGAACGCAAGUUGCGCCCGAAGCCAUUCGGCCGAGGGCACGCCUGCCUGGGCGUCGUGAAUCCCCUUGCCCCUAGGCACCCGCAUGAGCAUCGGCGGGGACAUAUCCUCGGGCGCAGAAUAUGGUCUCCCGUGGGAUCGGCAUGCACGGCAUGUCGAGGUGCGGUUGGCCGAAAAUCGAGCAUGGCGGUGACGGGCACCACGGCGUUCGGUGGAUCGAAUGAGAUUGGCUGCGUCGUGGGCUCGGCAUGCGGCGGGCUCCGGACUUUGAAUAUCCCCGAGUGCGAUCCCAGGUCAGGCGGGGCUACCCGCUGAGUUUAAGCAUAUCAAUAAGCGGAGGAAAAGAAACUAACGAGGAUUCCCUUAGUAGCGGC
rnacentral:rRNA from 1 species